GCAGGGUUAGUGAAGCGGUCAAACACGGCAGACUGUAAAUCUGCUGGCAUUCGCCUUCGUAGGUUCGAAUCCUACACCCUGCACCA
rnacentral:tRNA from 1 species